AUUGAACGCCGGCGGCAGGCCUAACACAUGCAAGUCGAACGGUAGCACAGAGAGCUUGCUCUCGGGUGACGAGUGGCGGACGGGUGAGUAAUGUCUGGGAAACUGCCCGAUGGAGGGGGAUAACUACUGGAAACGGUAGCUAAUACCGCAUAACGUCUACGGACCAAAGUGGGGGACCUUCGGGCCUCACACCAUCGGAUGUGCCCAGAUGGGAUUAGCUAGUAGGUGGGGUAAUGGCUCACCUAGGCGACGAUCCUAGCUGGUCUGAGAGGAUGACCAGCCACACUGGAACUGAGACACGGUCCAGACUCCUACGGGAGGCAGCAGUGGGGAAUAUUGCACAAUGGGCGCAAGCCUGAUGCAGCCAUGCCGCGUGUAUGAAGAAGGCCUUCGGGUCGUAAAGUACUUUCAGCGGGGAGGAAGGGUUGCUGGUUAAUAACCAGCGACAUUGACGUUACCCGCAGAAGAAGCACCGGCUAACUCCGUGCCAGCAGCCGCCGUAA
rnacentral:rRNA from 1 species